CUCAUUUCAGCCACCUCAGCAUUCCACAGGAGCAGAUACUGAUUCGAGCCAAGACCAUUUAUUGUCCUCACAAGAAUCAGAAUCAGAUUCUGAGGCCCAUUACCCUUCUUACCUAGCCCAACAAGUCCAAUCCUCACAUCCAGCUCACAGUCCAGACACCAUUCCAAUCCCCCUAGUUCCACUUCACAUCCUUCCUAGCAAAUAUGAACGACCCAUUAGUGUUAUUGGUUUUCUUGAUACCGGAGCGC
rnacentral:misc_RNA from 1 species